ensembl:lncRNA
GGGAUACUAUCUCUCUGUAGAGGGUUAGGAUACUAUCUCUCUGUAGAGGGUUAGGAUACUAUCUCUCUCUGUAGAGGGUUAGGAUACUAUCUCUCUCUGUAGAGGGUUAGGAUACUAUCUCUCUGUAGAGGGUUAGGAUACCAUCUCUCUGUAGGGGGGUUAGGAUACUAUCUCUCUGUAGAGGGUUAGGAUACUAUCUCUCUGUAGAGGGUUAGGAUACUCACUGAGGGAGAAGUGGACAGAGAGGUCCCCCGAUACCGUGCCAGAACACCAAACAUCAACAACCAUAAUGAUAAGGAUAAAGCCUAAAUUAAAGCCAGGGUUCAAGCUGGACACAUUGCCUUUGGAUGAGCUGUGAAGCAGAUUACGCUUUCUGUUUCUGAUAUUUUGACUUUGCAGAUGUUCUAUGUUAAUGUCAGCCAGUUUCAAAGUUUUUUUUUGCACGGUAAUGAUUGGCAUUGUAAAUAAUAAUGUCUUGUGGGUACUAAGUUAUUGGGCAUUCUGAAGAGGUAAUAUCAGCUGUUGGGAGUAUUUUUAAACCUGAAAUUCAGAGUAAAUGUGCAUGUUUCUGCUGUCUGUGGGAAGUCCUUCAACAUCAGCAGUUUGGAAGAUAAUGCAUCUGUAUGAACACAUUUGGUAUGUAGUGCUGUUAUUUGUUAAGUAGAGUUCUGUAAGGGGGUGAUGUGGGAUUUCACUGAAAGGUGUAACAUUUUUUACCUGCAUGAAAAAUAUCUGCUUUUAAUUUUUUUUAAAGUGAUGUUGCAAUUAAUGUUCAUUUUUUGAAAAUAUUAAUUUCUUUCUCUCUGCAUUGUUGGGAAGAGCCAUAAGCAUUUCUCUGUUAAGCAUGUGACAAAAUUAUAUUUUAUUUGAAGAGUGUUUGUCAUAG